AGCGAACGCUGGCGGCAGGCCUAACACAUGCAAGUCGAACGAACUCUUCGGAGUUAGUGGCGGACGGGUGAGUAACACGUGGGAACGUGCCUUUUGGUUCGGAAUAACUCAGGGAAACUUGUGCUAAUACUGAAUGUGCCCUUCGGGGGAAAGAUUUAUCGCCAUUAGAGCGGCCCGCGUCUGAUUAGCUAGUUGGUGAGGUAACGGCUCACCAAGGCGACGAUCAGUAGCUGGUCUGAGAGGAUGACCAGCCACACUGGGACUGAGACACGGCCCAGACUCCUACGGGAGGCAGCAGUGGGGAAUCUUGCGCAAUGGGCGAAAGCCUGACGCAGCCAUGCCGCGUGAAUGAUGAAGGUCUUAGGAUUGUAAAAUUCCUUCACCGGGGACGAUAAUGACGGUACCCGGAGAAGAAGCCCCGGCUAACUUCGUG
rnacentral:rRNA from 1 species